AUACUAAAAAUUAUUAUUCCAACAAUUAUACUGUUACCAAUAACAUGAUUCUCUAAAAAUUCUAUAAUCUGAAUCAACAUGACUACCCACAGUCUACUCAUCAGCCUCAUUACCCUAUUAUUUGUUAAUCAAUUCAACGAUAACUCACCCAACUUCUCAUUAAUCUUUUCUGACCCGCUGACAUCCCCCCUUCUAAUCUCAACAGCCUGACUACAAACUCCAGCAAGCCAAUAUCACCUGCCCAAUGAAUCACCCCCAUGAAAAAAAGCUCUAUAUUUCUAUAUUGGUUUCCCUGCAGAUUUUAAUUAUAGCAUUCACAGCCACAGAACUAAUUAUAUUUUAUAUCCUCUUUGAAGCUACACUAAUUCCUACCCUGAUUAUCAUCACCCGCUGAGGUAGGCAACCAGAGCGCCUCAAUGCCAGCUCAUAUUUCCUAUUUAUACACUAGUAGGAUCCGUCCCUCUACUUGUUACACUUGUCUACAUUCAAAAUACCUCAGUUUCACUAAAUAUUCUAGUAAUGAUAUUUACCACCCAAGAACUAUUAGCCUCCUGAUCCAAUAAUCUUAUAUGACUAGCAUGUAUUAUGGCUUUUAUAGUGAAAAUACCUCUAUACGGACUUCACCUGUGACUCCCUAAAGCCCACGUAGAAGCCCCUAUUGACGGCUCAAUAGUACUUGCAGCAGUUCUCCUAAAGCUAGGCGGCUGUGGUGUAAUAUGGCUUACCCUUAUCCUCAGCCCCCUAACAGAAUAUAUAGCCUACCCAUUCCUCAUAUUAUCCCUAUGAGGAAUGGUUAUGACAAGCUCUAUUUGUCUACGACAAACCAAUCUAAAAUCACUUAUUGCCUACUCCUGCAUAAGCCAUAUAGCACUUGUUAUCACAGCUAUCCUCAUCCAAAACCCUUGAAGCUUUACAGGUGCAGUCACCCUUAUAAUUGCCCACGGACUUACUUCAUCCUUAUUAUUCUGCCUAGCAAAUUUGAACUACGAGCAAAUCCAUACCCGAACCAUAUUACUUACCCGAGGCCUUCAAAUACUGCUUCCACUAAUAGCCUCUUGAUGACUUCUAGCAAAUCUCACUAACCUUGCCUUACCCCCUACCAUUAAUCUAGUAGGAUAACUCUUUGUGACCAUAGCUUCAUUCUCCUGAUCAAAUAUCACUAUUAUGUUUACAGGACUUAACAUACUAAUUACAGCCCUCUACUCCCUAUAUGUAUUAAUCAUGAUACAACAAGGGACACUCACAUAUUACAUUGACAGUAUUAAACCUUCCUUUACACGAGAAAAUACAUUAAUAUUUAUACAUGUCGCACCUAUCCUUCUAUUACCCUUAAAACCUAAAAUUAUUAUGGGGUUUACA
rnacentral:lncRNA from 1 species